GGUCAAUAGAUUAACUUGAUCGAUUUUAAUCGAUCAAUUUGUUAUCUAAGGCAAGUAUCUAGAUAGUAGUUAUUUAAUUGGUUCUAUUGUCUGACCUAAUCAAUCCAUUGGUAUCUAAGAAAAGCAACAGAGGGACCUCCACUUAACUUAUCUAACCAUUUUAGGAGAUUAAGUUUUGAAUUAGGUUACUUGUUGAUUUGAGUUUACCCAUGCCGACUAGGUAGGUCAGAUAUGUGAAUGUGCUGACCUGAACUUAGUCAGUCAGAUAUCAAAUCUGAUGACUUUGAAGAGACCUAAACCUAAAUAUCCUUACUAAAUAUUAAGUCUAGUGGUCUUUCACCAUUGUAGAGAUGCGGGUGCCUUCUUGACGUUGAUCGUUCCUGACUGGCUCAGUGGUUCGAUUGCAUCUAAAAGGUAUAACCACUCUAUUGACAUUAGAUGCCCUGAGAUAGAGAUGGGAUUGGGCCCAAUAACUAUUAGAUGAGGAUCCCAAUGAUAGUUUUACAUCUGUUGGUGAAUGAUAGGUCUGAUUUAACUAAGAAAUAUGCCAAUAACUGUUAGGUGAGACCACAGGACUUAGAGACC
rnacentral:lncRNA from 1 species